rnacentral:rRNA from 1 species
UACGUAGGGUGCAAGCGUUGUCCGGAAUUAUUGGGCGUAAAGAGCUCGUAGGCGGUCUGUUGCGUCGGCUGUGAAAACCCGGGGGCUCAACCCCGGGAGGCGGGCGGAUACUGUCGGGCUAGAGUCCGGAAGAGGCGAGUGGAAUUCCUGGUGUAGCGGUGAAAUGCGCAGAUAUCAGGAGGAACACCAAUGGCGAAGGCAGCUCGCUGGGACGGUACUGACGCUGAGACGCGAAAGCGUGGGGAGCAAACAGG